GAGCCAGCUGAUUAAUCUGCUUAGCUGAAUGUGUUUCUGCAGAACUUUAGAAACAGCUGACAAUACCGAUGUCAUUUUAUGAGCCUUAAGGACAACUGAGGUCAUUACUGUCCCCCAAGAUGGUACUGUA